rnacentral:lncRNA from 1 species
UAAGAUAAGGAAAUGUAUAAGCGACAAUAACAUAAAAUUAUAAAAAAAAGAAAAAAAAAAGAGAUAAUAAAAAUUAGUAGUUGAAUAAUAUAAUAGGCUGGGGAAUAUGAAACUCUAAGGCUUAUUAGUGAGAUAGAUGGGUGUAGAAAAGUAUGAUUAGAUAGAGUUCACCUUUUUUUUUUGGGUGAAAAGAAACCUUUGGGUCGUUUGGUACACAGGCUUGGCUUGGACUGGCUUAGACUAAAUUUAGUACCAUGUUUGUUUCAUUUAAUUCUAGUCUUAGAUGGGAUUGCUAAUACCGGGCCCA